CAGGUCUUGACAUACUCGUGCUAUUCCUAGAGAUAGGAAGUUCCUUCGGGACACGGGAUACAGGUGGUGCAUGGUUGUCGUCAGCUCGUGUCGUGAGAUGUUGGGUUAAGUCCCGCAACGAGCGCAACCCCUAUUGUUAGUUGCCAUCAUUAAGUUGGGCACUCUAACGAGACUGCCGGUGAUAAACCGGAGGAAGGUGGGGAUGACGUCAAAUCAUCAUGCCCCUUAUGACCUGGGCUACACACGUGCUACAAUGGAUGGUACAACGAGUCGCGAGACAGUGAUGUUUAGCUAAUCUCUUAAAACCAUUCUCAGUUCGGAUUGUAGGCUGCAACUCGCCUACAUGAAGUCGGAAUCGCUAGUAAUCGCGGAUCAGCACGCCGCGGUGAAUACGUUCCC
rnacentral:rRNA from 1 species